GAUGAACGCUGGCGGCGUGCCUAAUACAUGCAAGUCGAGCGAACAGAUGAGGAGCUUGCUCCUCUGACGUUAGCGGCGGACGGGUGAGUAACACGUGGAUAACCUACCUAUAAGACUGGGAUAACUUCGGGAAACCGGAGCUAAUACCGGAUGAUAUAUUGAACCGCAUGGUUCAAUAGUGAAAGACGGUCUUGCUGUCACUUAUAGAUGGAUCCGCGCUGCAUUAGCUAGUUGGUAAGGUAACGGCUUACCAAGGCAACGAUGCGUAGCCGACCUGAGAGGGUGAUCGGCCACACUGGAACUGAGACACGGUCCAGACUCCUACGGGAGGCAGCAGUAGGGAAUCUUCCGCAAUGGGCGAAAGCCUGACGGAGCAACGCCGCGUGAGUGAUGAAGGUCUUCGGAUCGUAAAACUCUGUUAUUAGGGAAGAACAAAUGUGUAAGUAACUAUGCACGUCUUGACGGUACCUAAUCAGAAAGCCACGGCUAACUACGUG
rnacentral:rRNA from 1 species